rnacentral:rRNA from 1 species
GAAGGCUCAUUAAGUCCUGUCAGGGACGAGGCAGCAGUAGAGAAUAUUGUGCAAUAUACGGCAGUAUGACACAGAGAGCACACGCCCUCUUGGCCUGUCCAACUAAGUGCCAGCAGACGCGGUUAGACUUAGGGGCCAAGCCUUUAUGAGCAAAGGGGCGUAAAGGGUGUGUAGGCCGACCGCCCCACCCCCCCCAAGGUGGUAAAUGGAAUUUUUCUGUAGCGGUAGAAUGUGCGGAUAGAAAAUAGAACCCCAAAAGCUGAAGCAAUUUACCGCGGGGCGGGAGGGGGGGCCCCCUGGGGCGCCCCCCCGGGCUACGGGCUGAAACACGAGGGUGUGGGGAACAAACAGGAUUAGAGACCCUGGUAGUCCACACUGUAAACGAUGGAGAAAAUGCGAAUGCAGCCCCGAAAGGCAGCAAUCUCCCGCCUGAGUAGUACGAUCGCAAGAUUAAAAUUCCAAAAAUUUGGCUGUUCACCGUUUCGAUUAGAGGAGCGUGUAGUUUAAUUCGAUAAACCGCGAGAUACCUUACCCAAACUUGAAUCCUUGAGGAUUCCAAGGAAUCCUUAUGGACCGGUAUUGCAUGGCCGUCGUCAGUUCGUGUAUGAAACCUUAAACGGACCCAACCCGAGGAUUAGCCGCGGAUGAAGUCAGGUCUUAUGGUCCCAAUGUUUGGGGAUAAUAUGCGCUACAUUUUCUUAUACAAUGGGAAACCUGGGAGGUGAAACCCAAAAGUGAGAGUUCGGUAGGCUAUUGGAAGAUGGCCGAAAGUUGAAUUUAAUAGUAAUCGGAAAGUAUAGCGUUCCGGUGAAAUGAUCUAGGUGUUAGCACAAAUCGCCCGUCACCUUAACUUAGGAUGAUGGUUCGGACGCCGCCGCGCCCCCCCGGGCCCCGGCGGUUACGGCCCUACGAAGUUAAGCA